AAGUCGUAACAAGGUUUCCGUAGGUGAACCUGCGGAAGGAUCAUUACCAAAGAACAACUGGUUGGGUUGUUGCUGGCCCCUCUCCCUGGAGGGGCACUGUGCACGCCUUGCCAAUUCACUUUGCUCACCUGUGCACCUCCUUGUAGGCCAGGAUCACCAGAGAGGAAGAAGGGGGGGGGGGAAACGUGUCUCCUGUCGGAGUGCUCAACUUCUUUUCUUUUGCUUGGUGGAGGGAUCUGCUGUUGUGUCCUCACACGGAAUGGGUAUCUGUGAGAGAACAGAUAUAGACGGCUUUUUCCUUGCUCACGUCUGGCCUAUGCCUUUAUUAAACCUGUAACAUCUGUAUCUGUAUGUGUAUUUGAACAUCUGGGAUAACCGCGAUUGUUUUUGAACACCAAUACAACUUUCAACAACGGAUCUCUUGGCUCUC
rnacentral:misc_RNA from 1 species